rnacentral:rRNA from 1 species
GGGCCAACACAAGUGGUGGAACAUGUGGUUUAAUGCGAUAAUACGCGCGAAAUCUUACCAGCUUUUGUAUUUAAAUGAUCUCGUAUUUUACGAGUUAUCUUAAAUAUGCGUUUGAGAUAAAUCUUUAAAACAGGUGUUGCAUGGCUGUCGUCAGCUCGUGUUGUGAAAUGUUUGGUUAAGUCCUUUAACGAGCGCAACCCUUUUUUUUAGUUGCCAGUUUGAAAAAACGCACUCUAAAAAGACUAUUUAUGAUGAGUAAAUGGAAGAAGGAUGACGUCAAGUCCUCAUGGCCCUUAUAAGCUGGGCUACACACGUGUUACAUUGGUAACUACAAAAGGGCAGCUAAAAAGAAAUUUGGAG